rnacentral:rRNA from 1 species
GAUGAACGCUGGCGGCGUGCCUAAUACAUGCAAGUCGAGCGAAUGGAUUGAGAGCUUGCUCUUAUGAAGUUAGCGGCGGACGGGUGAGUAACACGUGGGUAACCUGCCCAUAAGACUGGGAUAACUCCGGGAAACCGGGGCUAAUACCGGAUAACAUUUUGAACCGCAUGGUUCGAAAUUGAAAGGCGGCUUCGGCUGUCACUUAUGGAUGGACCCGCGUCGCAUUAGCUAGUUGGUGAGGUAACGGCUCACCAAGACAACGAUGCGUAGCCGACCUGAGGGGGUGAUCGGCCCCACUGGGACUGAGACACGGCCCAGACUCCUACGGGAGGCAGCAGUAGGGAAUCUUCCGCAAUGGACGAAAGUCUGACGGAGCAACGCCGCGUGAGUGAUGAAGGCUUUCGGGUCGUAAAACUCUGUUGUUAGGGAAGAACAAGUGCUAGUUGAAUAAGCUGGCACCUUGACGGUACCUAACCAGAAAGCCACGGCUAACUACGUGCCAGCCGCCGCGGUAA